UGGUCCAGCUGAACCAACCGACCUCUAUUUCCACCAUCGAUCCCGAGAAUUACCUAGGCAUCUGUUCGUGUGUUUUCUUCCCCGAGAACUACGUAGCCUGCGGCGGCGGGGGGUUUUGAUCGGCGGCGAAGAUCGCGGCCGUGGGGGCAGCCGGAGCGGGCGGAUAAUCAGAGGAGGCCAAGGACGUCGGCAAUUUACUCACUGUGAGCCGCGCCGAUGGCGCCUAUACAGCGGCAGGAGAAGGGGGCCGCCCUGGUGUAUGAGUAGAUGCUAUUGAAGAAAUGAGAGUGAGAGGUGAGAAGGAGAGGCAAGGAAAUGAGAACAGUAUGGGCCAGCAAAAGAAUGUCAAAAGAGGAAAUUCCAUUCAUUCCAUGAGAGAUUUUAAAAUGCCAAGAAGGACAAGCAUGUUUGAUAUAUUCAGGGACUGAUAUAUCAUUGCAUAUGAAGUGUUGAGAGAUGUAUUUAGUAAACCUACUGGACUAUGCUAUGUAGGUUUUAUAUUUUGGUUCAUGAACAUCUUUAGUAGAGGGUAUGGUCAUUAAGAUUGAGUGUCAUGUCUGUGAGGAUCAUGUGAUGUUCAUGAUCAAGUUAGUGCCUCUAUAAUGAACUUGUUGAUCUGCUUAAUAAAAAACCUUUGAACUCUCC